UGAGGAAUAUUGGGCAAUGCCCGCAAGGGUGACCCAGCAACGCCGCGUGGAGGAUGAAUGUCGUAAGAUUGUAAACUCCUGUUAGAGGGGAAGAAUAGUACCGGUUGGACCGGUAUAUGACUGUACCCUCAGAGAAAGCCCCGGCUAACUACGUGCCAGCAGCCGCGGUAAUACGUAGGGGGCAGGCGUUGUCCGGAUUUACUGGGUGUAAAGGGAGCGCAGGCGGGAUAAAAAGUCAGUGGUGAAAUCCUACAGCUUAACUGUAGAACUGCCUUUGAUACUUUUAUUCUUGAGUUCGGGAGAGAGAGACGGAAUUCCAGGUGUAGUGGUGAAAUACGUAGAUAUCUGGAAGAACACCAGUUGCGAAGGCGGUCUCUUGGUCCGACACUGACGCUGAGGCGCGAAAGCGUGGGGAGCAAACA
rnacentral:rRNA from 1 species